GAUGAACGCUGGCGGCGUGCCUAAUACAUGCAAGUCGAGCGAACAGACGAGGAGCUUGCUCCUCUGACGUUAGCGGCGGACGGGCGAGUAACACGUGGAUAACCUACUUAUAAGACUGGGAUAACUUCGGGAAACCGGUGCUAAUACCGGAUCAUAUAUUGAACCGCAUGGUUCAAUAGUGAAAGACGGUUUUGCCGUCACUUAUAGAUGGAUCCGCGCCGGAUUAGCUAGUUGGUAAGGUAACGGCCUACCAAGGCAACGAUGCGUAGCCGACCUGAGAGGGUGAUCAGUCACACUGGAACUGAGACACGGUCCAGACUCCUACGGGAGGCAGCAGUGGGGAAUCUUCGGCAAUGGGCGAAAGCCUGACGGAGCAACACCGCGUGGGUGAUGAAGGUCUUCGGAUCGUAAAGCUCUGUUAUUGGGGAAGAACAAAUGUGUAUGUAACUAUGCACGUCUUGACGGUACCUAAUGAGAAAGCCACGGCUAACUACGUG
rnacentral:rRNA from 1 species